CAUAUACUCCCUCCGUCCGGGAAUACUUGUCGAAGAAAUGAAUGAAUAUAGACGUAUUUUAGUUAUAGAUACAUUUAAUUUUAUUCAUUUCUCCGACAAAUAUUUCGGAACAGAGGGAGUAUAUU
rfam:Triticum urartu cultivar G1812 contig610224, whole genome shotgun sequence.